CAAAAACAUGUCCAUAUGUUUAAGUUUUAUAUGGUCUGGCCUGCCCACUGAUAUUUAAAAUUAAAGGGCCGCGGUAUUUUGACCGUGCGAAGGUAGCAUAAUAAUUAGUCUCCUAAUUAGAGGCUUGUAUGAAUGGUCGGACAAGAUGGAAACUGUCUCAAUACAAUAAAUAAAAUUUAAUAUUUAAGUAAAAAAGCUUAAAUAACGUGGAGUGACGAUAAGACCCUAUAAAGCUUUAUAAUAUCUUUCUUUUAUAUAAAUUAUUUCGUUAUUAACAUAUCUUAGUGUAGAUAUUAUUUUACUGGGGCGGUAAAAGUAUAUUAGAAGAAUAACUGCUUUUAUUUUGCAUAACAAUUGUAGUUGGAAAUAAAUUGAUCCAUUAUUAAUGAUUAUAAAAACAAGUUACUUUAGGGAUAACAGCGUAAUUUUUUUUGAGAGUUCUUAUCGAAAAAAAAGUUUGCGACCUCGAUGUUGAAUU
rnacentral:rRNA from 1 species